rnacentral:rRNA from 1 species
UACGUAGGGGCCUAGCGUUGUCCGGAAUUAUUGGGCGUAAAGAGCUCGUAGGCGGUUCGGCAAGUCGGAUGUGAAAUCUCCACGCUUAACGUGGAGGGGCCAUUCGAAACUGCUGUGACUCGAGUCCGGUAGGGGAGUGUGGAAUUCCCGGUGUAGCGGUGAAAUGCGCAGAUAUCGGGAGGAACACCAGUAGCGAAGGCGGGUCUCUGGACAGUUCCUGACACUGAGACACGAAGGCCAGGGGAGCAAACGGG